rnacentral:rRNA from 1 species
CCUACGGGUGGCAGCAGUGGGGAAUAUUGGGCAAUGGGCGCAAGCCUGACCCAGCAACGCCGCGUGAAGGAAGAAGGCUCUCGGGUUGUUAACUUCCUUUAAGAGGGAAGAGCAGAAGACGGUACCUCUUCAAUAAGCUACGCCUAACUACGUGCCAGCAGCGGCGGUAAUACGUAGGUGGCAAGCGUUGUCCGGAUUUACUGGGUGUAAAGGGUGUGUAGCCGGGAAGGCAAGCCAGAUGUGAAAUCCCGCGGCUCAACCGCGGAACUGCAUUUGAAACUGUUUUUCUUGAGUACCGGAGAGGUCAGCGGAAUUCGUUGUGUAGCGGUGAAAUGCGUAGAUAUAACGAAGAACACCAGUGGCGAAGGCGGAUGACUGGACGGCAACUGACGGUGAGGCGCGAAAGCGUGGGGAGCAAACAGGAUUAGAUACCCCAGUAGUC